GCUGAAAAUAACUUUGCAAUUAUCCUGUGCGUAUCAACGACUUUAUUAGGAAAGAAUUCAUAUUUCAUUCAACAGUUAUCCUUUCCCACUUGCCUACCGGCGAAGGAACACCCCGCAAGUAUGCGCGGGCACGCCGCAAGUUUUCAAACUUUUGCGCAUCCGAAUUUUCACGCGGGCCGCUGACGUAUCCCUCUGUCCUUGGUGCAAGUCAAAUACAAAAUGUGGAGUGAGUGAGAAAGGGAAUUUGGGCCCUGUCCACCCUUGAGGACAGCAAGGGCUGGAUCGUCAGAAAAACAGUGACCGUCAAGAAGUCAACAUCAUGAGUAACAAAGAAAACAUCAGCGAAGCCGAAACCUCAAAAACGAAAGCUACCCCACCUGACCGGAACCGGGCCCGAAGUUCGUCGAGGAAAAGAAGUCUGUCGGGUGACCGAAGCCGGUCCCCAAGGAGUUCGGAGGCAAAAGCUUCCCUGCGUGACCGGAGCCGGUCCCAAGCAACAUCGGCUCGAGGACGGACACCGUCACGUGACCGUAGCCGGUCCCGCGGAACGUCAGCGGGAGGAUGGACUCCGGUACGUGACCGGAGCCGGUCCCGCAGAACACCACCGGGAGGACGUACUCCGCCACGUGACCGGAGCUGGUCGCGAAAUGUAUCGCGAAGUGUUUCGUGCAGACGAACACCCGCACGUGACCGGAGCCGGUCACAAAUAAGUUCAAGCAGUGGAAGUUGCGGGGAUUGCAAAUAUUAUAAAACCCUCGCAAGAAAAUACAAAAAUGAGAUGAAGAAGUUGCAAAAAAAGUUUCGGGAGACGAUGUAUGGCGGAAGAGCGGGAAGAGCUGGAAGAAGGGGAAG